ensembl:lncRNA
UUUUUUUUUGCUUCUUAGGGCCACACCUGCGAGAUACGGCUGUUCCCAGGCUAGGGGUCAAAUGGGAGCUGCAGCUGCCAGCCACAGCCACAGCCACAGCAACACAGGAUCUGAGCCACCUCUGUGACCUGCAUCAUAGCUUGCAGCAAUGCCGGACCCUUAACCCGCUGAGCAGGGCCUGGGAUCAAACCUGCAUCGUCAUGGAUCCUAGUGGGGUUUCUAACCCGCUGAGCCAUAGCGGGAACUCCCGGAAUUUCCUUUCUUUUUAAUGCGGAGGGAGCCAUCCUGUUUCUGAAAUGAAGUCACAGCGUGUGGUGCACACUGCUCUGUGCCCACUUCUUUUUCACACAACGUUAGAUUGAAAACUAGUUCUCGCAGAAGAAACUGAAACAUCCCUUCCUUCCUCUCACUUCUCCUCCCACCAGCUACACCUCCGGGCAGCAGCCCUGGCGCGGGAGCAGGAAGCGCUGGUCCUCCGUGUCGGGGUCCCCACAACCACCCCCAGGACGGGUGAUUCACUGAAAGGCUGGUGGGACUCGGCAGAUAGUGGUAUCAGAGUCAUGACUCAUUACAGCAAAGACACAAGGCAAGACCCGCGCCGGGGAAGGCGGGUGGGAAAACAUCCAGAGGAUUUGCCCACCGGGGCAGCUCCUCAGAGGCUCGGCACCCAGGGGUUUUCUUGGAGGCGGGUCACGCGGCCCCCUUCUGCCCCGCAGGUGCCAAAACCAGACUCCCGAAAGGAAAGCAGGUGUUCAGCAAGAACCACACGAUCUGCACCAGCAGUCUAGGCACAUGAGUCAUUCUUACACGUUAGGGAGCGGUGGCGUCUCUCCCAGAAUCCAUGUUUCCUGUUAUCAGGCCAAGGCCUCCUUGCAGGCAGGGCUUUCAAGGAGUAGCUGCCUCCGGCCUGCUGUGUUAACACUUUUCUGUGCACACACCAAAGUCUAGGAGUUUUAAAGUCCAAAGGUUUUUGUUUUUUUUUUUCUUUUUAGGGCCACACCCAGGGCAUAUGGAAGUUCCCAGGCUAGGGGUCCCAUUUGAGCCGCAUCUGCAACCUACACCACAGCUCACAGCCGGAUCCUUAACCCGCUGAGCAGGGCCAGGGAUGGAACCCGCAUCCUCAUGGGUACCAGUCAGAUUCUUAACCUGCUGAGUCACAACGGGAACUCCUGAAGUCCAAGAUUUAAAACGAAGGUGAAGACCACGUGGCCAUGAUGGGCCCCCCACUCCCACAGGCCCACUCAGCUGGGGCAGAACAGCUCUGUCUUGAGGGCAGAUGGGUCUAGGAUUGGUCAUUAUUCCAGUCUUGUAAAUGUAGAAGGAGGAAAAGGAAAAAUGAAGUCAUGCAAGACCCCUGCGCUGAAAACUACAAAACGUCCCUGAGAGAAAUUAACGAGGGUUGAACAAAUAGAGGAGUAGGCCACCUUCCUGGAUUGGGAAACUGCAAUCCUGUAAAUAUGUUAUUUCUCCUCUAGUUAAUAUCUAAACUCAAUGCAACCCCCACCAAAGUCCAAGUGGUUUCUUUUUGGUGGAAAUUGACAAGCUGAUAUAAAAUUUCAUAUGGACAGGCAGAGAGCCAAGAACAGACAAGAAGCUCUUGAAAACAAAGAGCAAGAUAUCAGACCUAUUAUAAAACCAGAGUAAUUAGGACAGCAUGGGACUGGCACAAGGAUAGACAUGUGACCAACCGAGCAGAGAGAGCUCCCCAAAACGGAAGCUCCUCCCCCACCCCACCCAACACCGUCAACAGGGGCCCCCCUGCAGUACAGCGAGGAAAGGAAGUCAGCUCACGAAUUAUGAAAAAUACAUUCCAGAUGGAUUACAGAUCUACGUGUGAAGGGAAGAGCAAUAAAACAUGAAGGGGAUACAUCUUCGUGACCUCAGAACCAGCAAAAAUGUCUUUAAAGACAGCACAAAAAACACUAAGCAUAGGGUAAGACCGUUGUAAGCAUGGUCACUCAUCAGAGGCACCUACUAAUAGAAAGAAAAUGCAGUCCACAGAGUAGAAGUUAUUUGCAGAAGAAGAACUUGUAUUUAAAGCACUCCAAUAAGACAUAAGGAGGAGUCACAGGAGCUCCCUGGUGGCUCAGCAGGUUAGGGAGUUGUCGCCAGUAUGGCUCAAGGUGUGAUUCCUGGCCCAGGAGCUUCCACAUGCCAUAGCCAAAAAAAAGAAAAAAGAAAAAAA